rnacentral:rRNA from 1 species
CCCUUAGAUGUUCUGGGCCGCACGCGUGCUACACUGACCGGCGCAACAAGUUUCUUUCCUUGGCUCGAUAGGCCUGGGUAAUCUUUGAACGCCGGUCGUGAUGGGGAUAGAUCCUUGCAAUUUUUGAUCUUCAACGAGGAAUUCCUAGUAAAUGCGAGUCAUCAUCUCGCGUUGAUUACGUCCCUGCCCUUUGUACACACCGCCCGUCGCACCUACCGAUUGAACGUUUUAGUGAGGUACUCGGACUGAGCCUCAGAAGAUUCACGUCUUUUGUGCUGCUCGGGAAGAUUCCCAAACUUGAGCGUUUAGAGGAAGUAAAAGUCGUAACA